ensembl:lncRNA MIR99AHG mir-99a-let-7c cluster host gene
GGCACUAGUAGCUCAGGCUAGCAAGGAAGGAAAAAAGAGGAAGUUUCUCUCUGCGUUCUGAUUACACUCUGAAUUCCCUUGUAGUGAGCUUACUUCUCUCCACCCACUUCUUACCAAGAACUCCUUAACUUGAGGGUGAACAACUUAAAGCUUGAUCCUACAGUUACCUGAAAAGUGAUUUGAGUAUUCAUUGAACUGAAAGAACAAAUCGCCUACUUCAGGCGGUGGCAAGCGUAUGGAAAUUAUAUUAGAACUUCAGCAAAGUGCACAGCUGCAUAAUAGAGAAGCCGGCACUCAGAUUGACAGGCAAAUAAGCCAGCUUGUGGAAGGGGCCUCUGGGUGGCAGCUCUGGGCUUUUGGGUGUUGGACAACCAUAGGCAAAACUGAAAUGGAACAGGGGCAGAAAAUAGCACACUUUUACUCUACGCAACUGUUGCUUUUUCAUGAUCUUCAGGAAUUUUACUGGGAUAAUUAUCCAAAUAAAUUGCAAGCAUUCUAUCCAAAUGGAGCUCUUUCUGAGAUGAAGAGAAUUCUCAAUGUCAAGAUUUGAACAAGAAGAGAAUGGAAUACACAAUAUGGACAUCCAUAAAAAUUCAUCAGAGAGCAUUUUACUACUGAGCUGCAAAGGGAAAAACUUAAAAUGGAUAUGAAAAGUGAAGAAAGUGAUCAUAGGAGAAAACCAUUUCAGGUAAAAAUAAAAAACAAAGAGCAAAUAAGAUUUACUGUUUUUAAAGAAAAACAACAUUCUUUUGACUGUGUUUUGUUAUAAGAAUUAAUUUCAUAUUCUUUAUGAGUGUAACUGUUGAAAUUUUAUUGAUGGUUUUCAUUUGAAAAUGUGUGCUAUGACCUACCUUUGUGAAAAAUUUCUUGUGGUCAAUUGGGCAGUUUGUGUCCCAUUGAAUAUAUGUCUGUGUAUCCAUACGCUUAAGAUAGGUGCAAUACGGUUUACUAGAAAGCUUUAUAGGAAAAGAAAAAAAUUAUAUUUUCUUAUUUGUUGUACCAUAUAAAAGGAAGUGAAAUCAGGAGGAGGGGAAUAAGGUCAUGCUUUUUCAUCUUUUUUACAUGACCUGAUAAGACAAUGAAACCAAAACAUGCUUUCUUAUAGUUAUGGUAAAACUAAACCCAAUGCUGCCUCUUAUUUCACAUUUGCAUUUAUAAAUAUAUGUUGAAAUAUUUUUACUACAACUGAAUGUAUGAUUGUUGAUUAUUUACUAUAGUUUUUAAUAAUUAUGAGGACAAUUUAAGAAUAAAUAAUGGUUUAAAAUUAUGUAGAACACAUGAUCUAUAUAAAGGCUAUAAAACGUAUUUAUUUCAAAAUAUGCAAAAUCACUAAGCAAUUAGUAUGUAGUAUUAUUUUACACAAUAAAGAUAUAAUUAGGAAAUGCUAA